rnacentral:sRNA from 1 species
ACAAGUGGCGCACGGGUGAGUAACGCGUAGGAAUCUGCCUUAUAGUGGGGGACGACUUGGGGAAACUCAAGCUAAUACCGCAUACGCCCUACGGGGGAAAGCGGGGGAUCUUCGGACCUCGCGCUAUGAGAUGAGCCUGCGUUAGAUUAGCUAGUUGGUGGGGUAAGGGCCUACCAAGGCGACGAUCUAUAGCUGGUCUGAGAGGACGAUCAGCCACACUGGGACUGAGACACGGCCCAGACUCCUACGGGAGGCAGCAGUGGGACUCCUACGGGAGGCAGCAGUGGGACUCCUACGGGAGGCAGCAGUGGGACUCCUACGGGAGGCAGCAGUG